AAAAUGAACCUCUGUCUACAAAGCCUCUAAGAUUAUUUGACAUCAAAUGGGACAGAGUAGCGGCCUACCCAUAAGCCUAUAGCAAAACUCUGACAUGAUGAUUCAUAGACUCGGCUACACUCCGAAUGAGGUGGAGUCUUCUCACGCCCCGAACCUGGGGGGCGAGACUGGCACCUAGUGUCUCACCUAUCCUUGCAUACCAACUUGCAACUAAGGGACUCUGAACAUAUGAUGUCAUACUUUGGCCAUGGGUCACAUUGCAAGAUAACUGUGAAUGCUAACUAAAUGUCAAUAUAAAACUAGGCCGACAAGGCAGUCAUAACCAUUAUAGCUGACAAACCAACCAAAUAUACAUACAAGGCCUGCAAGCCCAACAUAUUGCACUAACUGACGGGAUAUGUCUACAAGCCUCUACUGAUGGAUAUACUAUGAUUGGAACAGCUCCCCGUCCUACUCAUAACACACACACACAUAUAUAUAUACACACAAGAUGUACAUAAGGCUCUAGACCCGGAAACUUCGAAAGGCAUGGAGCUUACUGAUCAAGCUGAACUUGGGCAACACUUAUUGAAGAGGCCUACCCGUCUGUCUGUCUGACCCUGCAUGCAUGAAAUGCAGUGCCUCCAAAAAAGGGACGUCAGUACGAAAUAUUGUACUAAGUAUGUAAGGCAAUAUACUGAAAGCUGAAACUGAACUGAUAAUAUAACAACUGCAAGUAGCUGGAAGUCAAAGAUAAUAUGAAGAUAUGGCUUACAUGGCUGGGAUACUGACUCACCUCUCUCAAUAUAGUAAGUAAAAUAGUUGUCCGGCUCUAUAAGGCUCGGUGUAUAUAUAUAAUUGCUCUGCCGUAGUAGGCUCGCUCAUAGGCGCUCGGCCAUACUAUGCUUUGUAUCUUGACCAACUGGGCUCGCUCAUAAGUGCUCGGCCACAGUAGGAUCGGUAUAUAACUUACCAUCUGAUCAGAGGUUGCCCAAUAGGGGCUUGCCCAUAGAUUAUAGCUCGAUGGUAAUAAAAAUACUUUAAUACUGUAUAUAUAAACUCUCCGCUCUCUUGACUUGAAAAAGGAAAUACUUAAUUGAAUAUGAAGUCCCGAUAAGAAGAAUAUUGUAACUAACAAAACUAGAAAAAUAUACGUAAUUUGCGAGACUAGCAAAAUAUACGUAAAUUACGGGAUAUAAAUUUUUUUCUCUAUGCCUUGUUAUCAAACUUGUAUAAUUACGAUAUCAUGCUAAAAUGAAGGAAAAGCUUAGCCUUAACCCACAUCAAAUCAUAUACAACAAAAAUGCAAGAAUUUUUACCUACAUUUGGACCUAUCUUCAGGGUUUAGGCGCCUCUCAAGCAAGCUUAAGACACCACUGCUUAGUAAGGCUUUUGUACAUGAAGAUGGAUAAAAUUGACUUAAAAUAUUUAACGUCACUAAUCAAGCCCCUCCAACAAGAACAUGUGUUUGAAGUUAAAAAUAUUAUGCAUUAUAUUGGGAGUGACAAAGAGAAAAAAAAAAGUUGUAAUUCUACUCCUGAAUUGUCUUCUGUAUUCUCUAAUUGUACGUGAAGCUGCCUUUUGAGUUUUGAUACUUCACUAAUAAACUUACAAUCUGUAUAUAUCAAACAAAUAGAUUAUAAAAUUAGAACCUAGAGAUAUAUCUAUUAAAGGAAUAGAAAGAUGGAACUCUAUUUGGAGUCAUCAGACUAAACCACAAGUACUUGAUAACUGCUUUGGUUGUUAUAUGUGCCAACAGACAAUUGAACAUAAAGAGCAAUACCUGACUUGAAAAUUAGAUACUGCAUCCCCCUGCUUUAAAGGAUUUGUACUUGUAAGGUUCAGAGGCAUCUUAAUGCCUUCGAUCCUCGCAAAAGAUCAACUUUUUAAGUUAAAAUAGCUAAACUAUCAAAAUGGUUAAUGUAUGGCAUUCUUCAUGUAUUUUGGUUUCUGAAACAACCCCUUGAAUCACCAACUCUAGAAAUGAUCCUUCUCCAAGAAAUGAG
rnacentral:lncRNA from 1 species